rfam:Clostridium tyrobutyricum DIVETGP, WGS project CBXI01000000 data, contig: NODE_8
AGCAGAGUAAAUAUUGUGCGUAAAGUGUUAGAGGAUGGGAAGUUGCCUCUAAACGAAAAGCUCGGUUUUGAAGCUUACGAUGCAAUGUUGCUUCCACUGUU